rnacentral:rRNA from 1 species
GUGAGGGGAGUGAAAUAGAACCUGAAACCGUGUGCAUACAAGCAGUCGGAGCCCCGCUACUUAAUUAUUUUGGAAUGAUAAUGUUCUACGUAUAUAUACUCAAAGGUGAAGAUGGUUCGCAUUAUUGUGGAUACACAUCAGACCUAAGACAACGAUUUGCCACCCACAACAGUGGUGAAAACAAAUCGACCAGUUACCAGCAAUGGCAGCUAUUAUACUAUGAAGCAUAUCAAACAAAACAAUUAGCAAUGAGAAGAGAGCGAACGCUCAAACAUCAUGGCAAAGUUUACCAGUCCUUAAUCAAGCGACUGGCAGAAUAAUUAAGUAGCGGGGUGACGGCGUACCUUUUGUAUAAUGGGUCAGCGACUUAUAUUCUGUAGCAAGGUUAACCGAAUAGGGGAGCCGUAGGGAAACCGAGUCUUAAUAGGGCGUCUAGUUGCAGGGUAUAGACCCGAAACCGAGUGAUCUAUCCAUGAGCAGGUUGAAAGUGACGUAACAGUUACCGGAGGACCGAACCCACUGUCGUUGAAAAGCCAG